GAUGAACGCUGGCGGCGUGCCUAAUACAUGCAAGUCGAGCGAACAGACGAGGAUCUUGCUCCUCUGACGUUAGCGGCGGACGGGUGAGUAACACGUGGAUAACCUACCUAUAAGACUGGGAUAACUUCGGGAAACCGGAGCUAAUACCGUAUAAUAUAUUGAACCGCAUGGUUCAAUAGUGAAAGACGGUUUUGCUGUCACGUAUAGAUGGAUCCGCGCCGCAUUAGCUAGUUGGUAAGGUAACGGCUUACCAAGGCAACGAUGCGUAGCCGACCUGAGAGGGUGAUCGGCCACACUGGAACUGAGACACGGUCCAGACUCCUACGGGAGGCAGCAGUAGGGAAUCUUCCGCAAUGGGCGAAAGCCUGACGGAGCAACGCCGCGUGAGUGAUGAAGGUCUUCGGAUCGUAAAACUCUGUUAUUAGGGAAGAACAAAUGUGUAAGUAACUAUGCACGUCUUGACGGUACCUAAUCAGAAAGCCACGGCUAACUACGUG
rnacentral:rRNA from 1 species